AUGAUGUCUGAACAGGGUUUACAGGGAAGGAGUGGUGCACCAGGAAUCCAAGGUCCCGUUGGAAAAAGUGGGGAACCAGGGAGCCGGGGUCCUGCUGGCAAUCCUGGAAAUCCUGGAAUCAAAGGUGUCAAAGGCAGAGAGGGUUCAGUAGGGUUUCAUGGCAGUCAUGGGGAGAAGGGGAAAAAUGGGCCUGAGGGGCCCAAAGGAAAACCUGGUCAGCAAGGUCCUCGAGGCCUACCAGGAGAGAAGGGCUACAAUGGAC
ensembl:lncRNA